GACGACGCUGGCGGCGUGCCUAAUACAUGCAAGUCGAACGAGUGGCGGACGGGUGCGUAACACGUGGGAACCUACCCAUCAGAGGGGGAUAACAAUUGGAAACAGGUGCUAAUCCCGACUAAUGAUGGAUGGCCCCGCGGUGCAUUAGAUAGUUGGUGAGGUAACGGCUCACCUAGGCGACGAUCCCUAGCUGGUCUGAGAGGAUGAUCAGCCACACUGGGACUGAGACACGGCCCAGACUCCUACGGGAGGCAGCAGUGGGGAAUAUUGCACAAUGGGCGCAAGCCUGAUGCAGCCAUGCCGCGUGUAUGAAGAAGGCCUUCGGGUUGUAAAGUACUUUCAGUCGGGAGGCGUUACCGACAGAAGAAGCACCGGCUAACUCCGUGCCAGCAGCCGCGGUAAUAC
rnacentral:rRNA from 1 species